UCCUUUAUUGCCCUUCAAAAUUGCCAUCAUUAACUUCUAUUCUUCUUCUUCCUGCUUCACUCUUCUCCUUGCAGCACCUUUUUUCACUUCUUCCUCCUGCAAUUUUUUUCAUCUCUUCCUUCUGCAUUUUUUUCAUGCAAUACAGAUCUGUAUUCCACUGUAGAAACUCGACAAUGAUCCGAGGGAAAAGGCAGACGAGAUAUUGACAAAAAAUGCUUAUGGAACAUUGAGAAGAUUUGUGUGAUAUGAGAAGAGCAUUGAGAGAUGAUCAAGAAGAAAACUGUAGAA
rnacentral:lncRNA from 1 species